CCCUUAGAUGUUCUGGGCAGCACGCGCGCUACACUGAUGCAUUCAACGAGUUUCUUCCUGGUCCGAGAGGAAUGGGUAACCUUUUGAAAGUGCAUCGUGAUAGGGAUAGACUAUUGCAAUUAUUGGUCUUCAACGAGGAAUUCCUAGUAGACGUAGUUCAUCAGACUGCAUCGAUUACGUCCCUGCCCUUUGUACACACCGCCCGUCGCUCCUACCGAUUGAAUGCUCAGGUGAGCCAUUCGGACCUUCAUCAUGCCGGUUUCCGGUUUUGAUGAGGGAAAGUCUUGCGAACCUUAUCAUUUAGAGGAAGGAGAAGUCGUAACA
rnacentral:rRNA from 1 species